GGGCCCGCACAAGCGGCGGAGCAUGCGGAUUAAUUCGAUGCAACGCGAAGAACCUUACCUGGGUUUGACAUACACCGGAAAGCUGCAGAGAUGUAGCCCCUUUUUGUCGGUGUACAGGUGGUGCAUGGCUGUCGUCAGCUCGUGUCGUGAGAUGUUGGGUUAAGUCCCGCAACGAGCGCAACCCUCGUCCUAUGUUGCCAGCAACCACUUUGGUGGGUUGGGGACUCAUGGGAGACUGCCGGGGUCAACUCGGAGGAAGGUGGGGAUGACGUCAAGUCAUCAUGCCCCUUAUGUCCAGGGCUUCACGCAUGCUACAAUGGCCGGUACAGAGGGCUGCGAUCCUGUGAGGGUGAGCGAAUCCCUAAAAGCCGGUCUCAGUUCGGAUUGGGGUCUGCAACUCGACCCCAUGAAGUCGGAGUCGCUAGUAAUCG
rnacentral:rRNA from 1 species